UUCGAAGGGUGAUUCCGUAAUUUGAAUGAGUUAAGCGCCAAAUUAAACCCACAAAUUUAAAAGUCGGUUAUUUUCCUUGUCCACCCAUUUUACACCGGAGCAGAUCGUCCACCAAAUUCUGAUAUAAAUCACUGCACACACACUCACAGAGAGAUACACCAAGAAACCCAGAACAGCUUCACAUGAUGCUCAUUCAAGCUUUCUGCUCCCCACUCUCUCCCAUUUCUCUCGCAAACCCCAACCGCCAAUUCCCCAUCAUCUCCCGCCCUGCUCCUUUCAACGGUUCAGUUUAUCAAUUGAAGAUAGGAGGUGGGAGUUCGUGGUUGGGGAGGAAGAAGAAUAAGGGAGCGAUAGUUUCUGCUUCUGUGGAGCAGAGCUCAGGCCCCAGUUUGUCAAAGCGAAGAAAGAUCGUCGAACACAUAUGUUUGCUUAAAUCGAGGGAGGAUUUAUCUGAUGAGCAAGAGAAGGAUAUGCUGGAUUAUCUGUAUACAACUCAGUAUCAAAUGAGAGGCAUUGUCGCAAUAUCAUUAGGGCGUAUUGGUAAUCAAAAUCCGGACAAGUAUAGCUACGCUUUCUACUUGCGUUUCCAGAGAAAAGAAGACGUUGUAAAGUUUUACCAGCACCCUUUUUACUUGGGAGUUCUCAAGGAUCACAUAUCGCCUUACUGCCAUGAAUUGCUUAAUGUAGAUUACGAAUCUGAAGUAGAAGAUGAUAUCCUUCCUAUAUUUCGAAAAGGAGAGGAAUUCAACUUUGGUGUGGAGUUUGUGCUUCUGAUUUCCUUCCUCGAUAAUGCAUCUGAUCAGGCGGAAAAUGCAUUGGUUUCUUUUGAAGGGCUGCUGAUGGGAUUCCCAUCCUUGAUUGUCCAAUCUACUCGAGGUAUGAAUUUUAACACGAGCAGCAAGGAGUAUACACAUGGAGUAGUGAUCAGAUUUCGGUCAUUUGAUGCUUUUGGGAUAUUUUUUGGAAGCUCAGAAUACAAAGACUUAUGGAAGUCAAAGUUCGAGAAAAUCACUCAGAAAACACUUUCUGUUCAUUUUCUUAUUCAACCAGUGGGUAGUGAAAUCAUGUAGCGAGGAUCUCAUGAGGGUUUCAACAGGCAUUCUUGCUCACUUUCUUCUGAUAUUAACGUGCAUGUGCAGAUUAUCUGGAAAUCAACACAUGAUGUUCAAUUGUAUCAGAGCAGCUUUUGUAGAUUCUACCAUUCAAUACACUGGUACUGACUUGCACUUUCUUCACAAGCUAGUUGCACACAUUUUUUGACUGUAUCUGUAAGACUACUACAUAUCUUUGAGUAAAAGAAACGAAAAGCAAAUGGGAAAAUGAUUUAAAGCAAAAUUUUGUAUGACUAAAUAUACAUAGUAGCCAGACAGCUAAUCAGUUGUGAAGUGGGUUUGGUCCUGCUGGAACUGCGCGUAGAGAAACAUUACUAACCACCGGGUCGAUCUCAACUCCGUGGGAUGCCUCUGGAGCUUGUGCAGAGAAAUGCCAUGAAAAGUCGGAAUUGGAUUCAGAUUUCUCUCUUUGGUUCUCUCCUUCACUUAUCUUUAUGUGGAGCUGACGAGAAUCCGAUUGCUGACUGAUCAUGAGCAUGAUCAUGAACAUCACAAGUGGAAGUGUGAGACUCUGAAGUCCCAUGAGAUGAUGAAACUUUAAAAUUCUUACAGAGAAAUAAGGGGGCAAAUUGAAAACUGAGAUUGUUUUAGUUCUGAUAUGCAAGCAGGUUUUGGAGUCUUAUUAAUAUGGGGAAUCAGGAAACUUGUGGCAAAGAUAGAGCCAAAACUCACAAUUAAUUCUAUCAAAUGACACAAAUGCCCAGUUUUCGCCCUAAAUUUUCUGAAGGCAUCAUUUAACUAUUCACAUUGCAAUGAUUGCAUAACCUUAGGAAAACUAUCUUGCACUUACUACCCAUUCUGCAGCUUUAUGCAUAGUGGUGAUAUUUUCGGCUUUUCGCCUGCAGUUAAGAACUAAGACUGAUCUGUGAUGCAGGUCAUUAUGCAGGAUCAUGCUCUUUGGAUGCUUCAGAAAGCUUUCAGAAUUUGACUCUCUGAUCCAGCUCUUUUGUUUUAGUUCUGUAAUUACUUAUACAUUUGAGGCUUCAAAUACACCAGAAGUUAGAGGCUAAUCUGGUCCUUUACAUGAAUUACUAUCACCCAAUGGAGUGCUCAUUUGAAAAACGGUUUAAAAGUUA